AUACGUAGGGAGCAAGCGUUGUCCGGAUUUACUGGGUGUAAAGGGUGCGUAGGCGGCUUAUCAAGUCAGGCGUGAAAUAUAUGGGCUUAACCCAUAGACUGCGUUUGGAAACUGAUGAGCUUGAGUGAAGUAGAGGUAGGCGGAAUUCCCGGGUGUAGCGGUGAAAUGCGUAGAGAUCGGGAGGAACACCAGUGGCGAAGGCGGCCUACUGGGCUUUAACUGACGCUGAGGCACGAAAGCAUGGGUAGC
rnacentral:rRNA from 1 species